rnacentral:tRNA from 1 species
GGUAUGUAUAGUUUAACAAAAACAUCCGACUGUGACUCAGAAGAUAGAAACUUAAAACUUCUUAUAUACC